rnacentral:piRNA from 1 species
AGUGUUCUUGAGAUGUCACCAUUUGUCGU